rnacentral:rRNA from 1 species
GGGCCCGCACAAGCGGUGGAGCAUGUGGUUUAAUUCGAUGCAACGCGAAGAACCUUACCUACUCUUGACAUUUAGCUAAUCUGGAAGAGAUUCCGGAGUGCCUACGGGCCGCUAAAACAGGUGCUGCAUGGCUGUCGUCAGCUCGUGUCGUGAGAUGUUGGGUUAAGUCCCGUAACGAGCGCAACCCUUAUCUUUAGUUGCCAGCGAGUAAUGUCGGGGACUCUAGAGAGACUGCCGGUGACAAACCGGAGGAAGGCGGGGAUGAUGUCAAGUCAUCAUGGCCCUUACGAGUAGGGCUACACACGUGCUACAAUGGCCGGUACAGAGGGCAGCGAAGCGGUGACGCGGAGCGAAUCUUUAAAAGCCGGUCGUAGUCCGGAUUGGAGUCUGCAACUCGACUCCAUGAAGUCGGAAUCGCUAGUAA